GCUGAAUUAGCUCAGUGGGAGAGCACCAGACUGAAGAUCUGGGUGUCCUGGGUUCGAUCCCCAGAUUCAGCA
rfam:Ordospora colligata OC4 contig_03, whole genome shotgun sequence.